UAUGGGGAAAUCCUGAUUUGUGUUCAUAGUACGGCCCCCGGAGGAUUUUAUGACCAUGGUAGGAAUUUGAAGUGGCCCCUCGAAUGAAAAAGGUUCCCCACCCCUGCAUUAAACAUUUCUACUAGCCACAGCUUUGCUGCCAGUACAUUUUAUUAUGAUACUAUAAGCUCAGAAAUUAAGUUGAUCAAACAAUUCGAUCUGUGCUAUAAACAUUUAAAUGAACCUACAGAAUAGGCUAUCAAAAUAGAAUCAUCUGAAUGAUCUUUCUUGGACAUACAUUUUGAAGUGACCCUUCGAAUUAAAAAGGUUCCUCAGCUGCUUUUGAGGAAAAACAUCAAUGUGCUUGGCCACUCUGGUUUUUAAAUGGUAUUCUGAACUAAAGCAAGGAUUGUUGAAAGUUAGUUGAAAAUAGACCGUCUCUGGUUAAAUUAGUUCUACACCAAGCCUUUAGGUGGCAGUAAAACGAAUUGGCACAAUGCGAAUUCCACACACAAGCCACAAAGAAGCCAUCAGCCGCGGUCAACAGCACCUUCCUGAUUGAACAGAACCACGCGUUGUCUGUGUGGUUUACAAGUUUCUUGGCGAUAUGGGGGGAAAGUUCCUCACAUACCAACGGAAAAUGGGCUUCAUAUACAUGCUGCUGUCUCAUAAUAUGGCGAAGACGAGUCACCUGAAGGCCUAACUCGCCAUAGAAGACUGAAAGAAUUGUCCUGCAGGAUGCUGUGUCCUGCAAUCCUGUGUGCUGUGCUACAGACGCGUGUGGAGGUCAACCCAAAAUGGGCACAGUCUCACCACAGAAGAGUGAAAGAGGAUCCUGGCAGGGAGACGGUAGUGUCCUGCAGAAUGGUGAUGGGCCAAUCUUACAAGAGACCACAGAAAACUGAUAUAGUGAACUAUAGAAACAACAGUGCCUGCUGCAGUAUAACGAGGACACCCUGAGCAGAGAGCUCCAAUAGACCCAGGUCCAGUGUCUUGGCAGGGUGAAAUGGCACUGAUAUGGUGUCCUGCAGGAUGCUGUGUCCUGCAAUCCUGUGUGCUGUGCUACAGACGCGUGUGGAGGUCAACCCAAAAUGGGCACAGUCUCACCACAGAAGAGUGAAAGAGGGUAAGCUUAACCUAUAGCCUACGUCAGUGGUGGGGAACCUUUCUCAUUCGAAGGGCCAAUUCAAAUUCACCCGAGGGGCCGUAAAAGUUCUCCAAGGGCCGUACUAUGAACACAAACCAGGAUUUUCCCCUUCACUUUAGACCUAUAUUGAAGGCAGCCACAUUUAAACAAACACCACCUUCUUCAGCUUCCCUGAAUAUAACUUAAUUGUAUUGCAAAUGUAUUUUCUAAGGUUCCUUUACAAAAUGUCAUAUUUUAUGUGAAGCUGAAUAACAUUAAAAUUAUAUCGGGGACCAGAUAAAACGGCCUCAAGGGUCGCAAACGGCCCUCAAGACAUAGGUUCCCCACCCCUGGCCUACAUUGGCAAUAUGACUUGUGCUACUUUAUAGAUAAGUUCUCAAUGCUGUGCAUUGCUAUGUUUUGAUUUAUUUUCUUACAUCCUACAUAUCCUGGCAGGGAGACAUAGUGCAUGAGACCAUAGAAGACUGAAAUAGGAGAUUAUCCCUGUUGGGCUCAAUAUGACUUGCUUAUUGAUAUAUUUGCUAUGUCAAUAUGAGGUGCAUGGUGAAGUAUUAAUUUAUUUGU